AGGGUUCCACCACAUUGUCCAGGCUGGUCUCAAACUCCUGACCACCAUGCCUAGCCUGUUGGUAGUUUUUAAUCAUGAAUGGAUUUAAAUUUUAUCAAAAUCUUUUCAUAUAACUACUGAAAUUGUUUCCUCCUUUAAUCUGCUAAUGACAUGGAUUUAUGUUAAUAAGUUUUGAACAUUUUAAACAAAACAGCCUUCUUGGGAUAUACCAAGCUUGAUGGACUUAAUUUACUAAUACCUUUGAAAAGACUUCUGUGUAUUUAUUCAAUAAUAAGACUGACUUUUUUUUUUUUUUUUUUUUUUGAGAUGGAGUCUCGCUCUGUCACCUGGGCUGGAGUCCAGUGGCAUGAUCUCAGCUCACCGCAACCUCCGCCUGCUGGGUUUAAGCGAUU
rnacentral:lncRNA from 10 species